rnacentral:antisense_RNA from 1 species
ACAAUGCUGGGCCCUCAGCCAGACCUGCCCUGCGUGCCACGUUCUGUUCUGAGAUCGGGCUGCCGAGCUGUGGCCUGGAGGAAACCUGGCAGGUGUCACCAGAGCUUUGGGGAGGGUGGGGCCCUGUCGGGGAAGCCCAGUGGGAGUCAUGAAGGAGGGAACACGUGUGGAGCCCUUGUAGGGGGAGGGGCAGCCCUGCAGAGAUCUAAGAAAAAAUUCCAGAAAAAUGAGCAGCAACCUCCAAGGCCAGGCAUCGGUGCAGGGGACAAGGGGUCGUAGCUGGAGGGGCCUAGGUGAGGCUGCCGGGAAGGGACUAUGUGGUUGGUGGAGUGCACAGGCAGGGACCUCACUGGACUUUCCUGUCUGCUCGGCAUGGACAGGCAGCCCAGGAGAAGGCAGCAGGUGGCCGGGUGCAGGGACGUACCACCCCCACUUCCCCAGGGGAGCUGGGGUCACACGAGUCCCAGGCACUCCAUCCUCUGCAGCAAGUCAGGUUGUGAUUUACUAGGGGGUGGUGAAUAUAAUGGAGAGACUUCUGGGGAGGAAUUCCUGGCUCCCGCGUGGACUUGCAGAGCUCAACAGGCAGCCACGUGGCUGAGUGUCCAGCAAACAUCACAUAAGGCUUUGGGUCCUGCAGGUGGGGCUGCCAUGAGCAGCAAGCUCAGUCCAGAAGAGCAGUUCCUCUCCAGGAUCCACUUCCUGCGCACUUUUAUGUGCAGUGUAGCUGGAGCAGAGCUCCCCGGAAUUCCACAGGCAACUGAGAACGGAGAGGGAUGCAGGCCAGCCAGGGAUCCAGCGUCUUCCCCAUCGUCACUCUUCAUGGCCUCCGUCUGCACACAGUGUUCGUUUGCACAGCUUGUCAGCGCGUUAUCAUGACUUCUAUUUGGCACCGGCCCGUCUGUCCACUCUCCUGGCUUGUUCCAAGCGCUGCCUUCUCCAGCUGGGGUCCUGGCUGCAGAGCUGUCUGCUCCCCACGUUGGGCAACUCCAGCCAAGAUUCCUACACCCAAAUGUGACCGUGUUGCUCACGAAGAAGGCUCAGCUUUGCGUGUGCCCAGCCGUGUGCACAGCUCGUCCCAACUCCUGCGGGUGGCACCUGCCUCUCCCACCUCCAGUCUUUCCCCUGUGAUGAGCAGAUGACCACCGCCCUCCAGGGUCAGCGUUUGGCUGUUCGUGUGCCUGCCCACCCGCCUCCCUGUGCCUGGGCCUGCCCUGUGCCUGCACACAGGAGGGGCUCAUGGCGUUUGCCCUACACGGAUGGGCUGUCCUGGGAGCUACUGGACAGUCACCUUGGUGAGGAUGCCAGAGGCAUGGGCAUUAGGUUCCCCCGGCCAGCCUCCGUUGCCACAUGGGCUAUUUUUGUCCAUCGCGUGGGACAACCUAGUAUUGGGGGAAAACUCAGUCCACUCUAAAGAAGCAUUGGCGUUUUGGAUGGACGAAUGCUGCUUCAUGCGACUCCAUGUCAAUGGACUAUUUUAUUCAACUCGGGUAUUUAUAAGUGUCUCCUCUGUGCCAGCCACGUGUGAAAGAAGAACUCCAAGUUACUGGACACCAGGACAAACCAGGUAGAUCACUGCGUCCGGUUCCUCCUCUUUCUGCCGACUCUCCCGGGCAACCGUUCUGAUUCCUGGCAUGGAGUCGGGGGCGAGCUCAUCAGUACCCAGAGCGCCUGGUGUGCAGCCAAAGGCCCCCAUUUUAUUAGUCGGUGUGUUCAGUAUCACGCUCAAGACAAGGGCCACCCUAUUACUUCACACACCUCAAAUACAAAAAGUGCCUGGGAACAUCGAUGAGGUAUUAAAGGAAACCACUGGUCUUGUCAGUCAUGUACACACAGAAAAAAAAAACCAGUCAUUUUUAUUUUUAUUUUUUGAGACAGAGUUUCGCUCUUGUUGCCCAGGCUGCAGUGCAAUGGUGCAAUUUCAGCUCACUGCAAUCUCUGCCGCCCGGAUUCAAGCAAUUCUCCUGUCUCAGCCUCCCGAGUAGCUGGAAUUGCAGACACCCAUCACCACGCCCAGCUAAUUUUAUGUAUUUUUAGUAGAGAUGGGGUUUCACCAUGUUGGUCAGGCUGGUCUCGAACUCCUGACCUCAGGUGAUCCACCCACGUCAGGCUCCCAAAGUGCUGAGAUUACAGGCAUGAGCCACUGUGCCCAGCCGAAAACAACCAAGAAUUUUUUAACAAUAAAAUGACCAGCAAGUAAACUUGAAACAAAAAUGGACAAAUAUCUAAAAUAUUUUUAAAUGUAUGUAUUUUAAUUGGCAAAUAAUACUUGUAUAUAUUGUUUACAACUUGUUUUAAAAUAUGAAUACAUUGUGGAAUGGCUAAAUCAAGUUAAUUAACAUGCAUUAACUCACAUACUUUUUGUUUUUUGGUGUGGUGAGGACACUUAACAUCUACUCUCUUAGCAAUUUUCCAGUCACCAUGUCCUACUAUAGAUCCCUAGAACAUAUUCCUCCAAUGUAACUGAAAUGUUGUAUCCCUUGACCAACAUCACUGCCCGGCCCCAGCCCCAGGUAAACACCAUUCUACCCUCUGCUUCUGUGAGUUCAGCUUUUCUAGAUUUCACCUGUGAGUGAGAUUGUGCAGCAUUUGUCUUUCUGUGCCUGGGUUUUUUCACAUAAUGCCCUUCUGGUUCAUCUAUAUUGUCAUAUAUGGCAGCAUUGUCUUCCUUUGUAAGGCUGACUGGUAUACCAUUGCGUAUAUACACCACAUUGUCUACCUAAAAUAUUUUUUAAUACAAUCGCUGAAAACUGCCACAUAACUUGUAUAACUGCUGUAAGGCUUGGUUUUCAGCCAUAAGAUGGGAAGAGAAGUAACAUCUACCUUGCAGGAUGACUGCAAGCUGUAAAAUGCCACAAAGCCCAGGGGAGCCCAGAACCGCCGCAGCAGGACAGGUCCUCUGGAAGCAGACAGACCUGCCUUGUUACUUUAGCCAUCCAGAGUCCAGUUUAGCCAGUGAGGAAAUGAGUACAAAAGAACACCUUUCUUGUAGGAUUGCAAAAUGAUACAGAGGAUGUCUUCAUCCAUUCUGUGCUGCUAUAGCAGACUCCUGCAGACUGGGUAACUGACAGUUUACAGAAGCUUGUUGGCUUAUGGUUCUGGAGGCUGGGAAGUCCAACCUCAAGGGGCUGCAUCUGGUGAGGGCUUUCUUGUUGCAUCAUCACAUCGCAGAAUAGCAGAAGGGCAAGGAGAGAGAGAGAAAAGAAUGCUGAACCCACCCUUUGAUAAGAAGCCCACUCCCAUGAUAACAGCACCAGCCCAUUCAGGAGGGCAAAGCCCUCGUGGCUGCAUCGCCUCUAAAAGGUUCCACCUCUCAAGAUCAUCACAAUGACAAUCAAACUUCAUGAAUUUUGGAGGGGACAAUUAUUCAAACCAGAACAGAGGGGGAUGGCAAAUGUUCUGAAAACAAGCCUAGAAAUUGAUCUUAGAAAUGCAAAAGUAGAUUUCCCCUUCUGUCUUUACCUGUGAUGGUCUAACCCCAAAAGCCUCCCAGAACAGAACUUGUGAGCACAAGAUAGAAACAACAAACUUGAUGCAGAGCUGAGCUCACAAGGAGGUCAGGGAUGUGACAGGAACCAGAGACAAACAGAAGGCUGAAAACCAGGUCUUAAAGUGUGAGAGCCAAAGGGCAGCAGCCCAGGAGAGUGUUCGUCUGGAGCCUCGGGGUUUAAGUCUCCACACUCACAUGGGAAAGGAGACGAGGCCUCCCUGGAUCCACGUGAAUCAGGAACUGGAACAAGGGCACUCAAAGGGCUACGCCGUCAGGAGAGAUGUGAAUGAGUGUGCCCACAGGAACAGGAAGACAACAGGAUGGUUCUGUGUUUGCCUGCCUGUUGUGGUUCUGUGAGACAGAAACAGUUUUGUUGACAAUUGAUAAUCAGGACUCAGAGCCUCGUUAGACUUCAGGUAUUGAAUUUUUUUUUUUGAGACAGGAUCUAGCUGUGUUGCCCAGGCUGGUCUUGAACUCCUGGGCCCAAGUGAUCCUCCUACCUUGGCCUCCCAAAGUGCUGGGAUUACAGGCAUGAGCUACCGUGCCCAGCCUAGGUAUCGAAUUUUCACAGGUUUCACAGUCUAGGCCCUACCACCCCUGCAGCAAAUAACUUGAUAUAAAACCUGGGCCCAGGCUAGUAAUACCCUUGAAGCCCAUGACAGAAGCAGGCACAGUGAUAGAAGCAAAAUCACGUAGACAUUAUCAAUCUAGCCCCCUCCAAUUCCUACCCAUAAAGCCCAAUGAAGAUGAAUUUACAAUCAUAAAGUACAAAACAUGCCAAGAAAGAACCACAUGAGGGAAGUCAGCAGAUGUGUGAACAGCAGGAACGGACUCCCCCACCAAAGGCCUUCAAAAGGUGAAUCAAGCAAAAAAGAGAACAUUAAUUAAACAUGUUUAACAUGGGUAAGAAUUACAGGAAUAAAAGAAGUAAAUGAACAAGAAUACGAUUGCAAGGGAGUGGGAGAAGAAUAGGCAGUUUUGAAGAACUAAAUGGAAUAUCUAGAAUGAAAAACCAUGCUUGCUAAAAUUAACUCAAUGAGUUGAGUUUAAAAAGCAAUUUAGACCCAGCUGAGAGCUGAAUUUGUGGUAUAUGCAGAAAUUACUUCUGAUGCGAGGCAGAGCAUGAUGACAGAAUGAGGAGAUCCCAAACAUCUAUGAGAGUUCCAUUCUGAAUGAUUAGAAGAAUGAGGAAGCAACAGUAUUUAAAAAGUUAAUCACUAAGAAAGUUCUAUACUUGAUGAAAAAUGUGAAUCCUAGAUUCAGGAACAGUGUGAGACUUGAGCUGGGGAAAAAAGAUGAAACUACACUUCUACAUUUAGGAGUAAAACUACAGAAUACAAAAGACAAAAAAAUUUUAAAGUGAAAAAUAAAACCACUCAGAUUACAUCAAAAGCAGUUAUGAAAGCAGCCUAUCAAUUACAAUGAUAAAAGCCAAACAAUAGUCAAAUAUCGAUUUUUUUCAAAGUCACAAGAUAAAAUAAGUAGUAACAUAGGAUUCUGUACAUAGCAUUAUUUGUUACCUAUUGGGGCAUAACAAAAUUCCCCAAAACUUUGCAGCUUAAAAAACAUUCAGUAUUUCACCAUUGCUAUGAGUCAGGAAUCCAGGCGUGGCUUGAGUCCUCUGCAUAUUGGCUUCUCACCAGACUGCAAUCAGGACAAUAGCACUGUAUCUGUGGUCUCAUCUGAAGGCUUGCCUGGGGAAGUCUGCAUCCAAGCUUACUCUUCGUUGGCUGUUGGGCAGAGGCACCCUCAGCUCCCAGCCAUGUAGGCUUUCCCAUGGUGCAGCUUCUAUCAACAAAGCACGCCAGACAAGAGGACAACACACAGUCUUCUAGGAAGAAGAAAGCCACAAUCUUUUUUUAAAAAGCAAAGCAAUAUUUAUGUAAUUGCCACUUGGUUUGAGAAGUAGAAUGCUGUGUCAAAAACCCCUCCAAAGCCCCCGCCAGUAACUGCCCUCCUCCUCCUCCCCAGUGCAACCACUGCCCUCACUUCUGUCUUUUUUUCAACUUUUAAAAAUUGUGGUAAAAUGCGUAUAACUUAAAAUUACAACCUUAAUCAUUUUAAGUGUACAGUUUGGUGGUGGUAAAUACACUCAUGAUGUGCAACCAUCACCACCAUGCAUCUGUAUAGAACUCUUUCCAUCUUGUAAAACUGAAACUCUGUCUCCAUUAAAC